GACGAACGCUGGCGGCGUGCCUAAUACAUGCAAGUAGAACGCAGUUGCGAACGGGUGAGUAACGCGUAGGUAACUGCCUCAUAGCGGGGGAUAACUAUUGGAAACGAUAGCUAAUACCGCAUACUGUGAGAUGGACCUGCGUUGUAUUAGCUAGUUGGUGAGGUAAAGGCUCACCAAGGCGACGAUACAUAGCCGACCUGAGAGGGGGGUACGCCCAAACGGGAAUGAGGAACCGGCCAGGAUCCUUCCGGAGGGAGGAGGAGGGGAUCUUCGGCCAUGGGCGGAAAGCUUACCGAGCAACGGCCGGUUGGUGAAGGAGGUUUUCGGGUCGUAAAACUCCGUUGAUUGAGAAGCGGUAACUAACCAGAAAGCGACGGCUAACUACGUGCCAGCAGCCGCGGUAAUAC
rnacentral:rRNA from 1 species